CGGGAUUGCCCCAGUAACGGCGAGUGAAGCGGCAACAGCUCAAAUUUGAAAUCUGACCUCCACCGGGGUCCGAGUUGUAAUUUGUAGAGGAUGCUUCGGGUGAGGGUCCGGCCUAAGUCCCUUGGAACAGGGUGUCAUAGAGGGUGAGAAUCCCGUCUGCGGUCGUGACCUGACCCCGUCAGAAGCUCCUUCGACGAGUCGAGUUGUUUGGGAAUGCAGCUCUAAAUGGGUGGUAAAUUUCAUCUAAAGCUAAAUACCGGCCGGAGACCGAUAGCGCACAAGUAGAGUGAUCGAAAGAUGAAAAGCACUUUGGAAAGAGAGUCAAACAGUAUGUGAAAUUGUUGAAAGGGAAGCGCCUGCGACCAGACCUGUCUGCGGGCGAUCCCCCGCCGUUCUCGGCAGGGUACUCGUCCGUCAGCGGGCCAGCGUCGGUUUCGGCGGCCGGACAAAGGCCCCGGGAACGUACCUACCCUCCGGGGAAGGCUUACAGCCCAGGGUGCAAUGCGGCCAGCCGGGACCGAGGACCGCGCUUCGGCUAGGAUGCUGGCGUAAUGGUUGUAGGCGGCCCGUCUUGAAACACGGACCAAGGAGUCUAACAUUUAUGCGAGUGUUUGGGUGUCAAACCCAUGCGCGUAAUGAAAGUGAACGGAGGUGGGAACCCGUCCGGGCGCACCAUCGACCGAUCCAGAUGUCUUCGGAUGGAUUUGAGUAUGAGCAUAACUGUUGGGACCCGAAAGACGGUGAACUACACAUGGAUAGGGUGAAGCCAGAGGAAACUCUGGUGGAGGCUCGCAGCGGUUCUGACGUGCAAAUCGAUCGUCAAAUCAGUGUGUAGGGGCGAAAGACUAAUCGAACUGUCUGGUAGCUGGUUUCGGCCGAAGUUUCCCUCAGGAUAGCAGUAACGUUUUCAGUUUUAUGAGGUAAAGCGAAUGAUUAGAGGCCUUGGGGGCGUAACGCCCUUAACCUAUUCUCAAACUUUAAAUAUGUAAGAAGUCCUUGUUACUUGGUUGAACGUGGACAUUUGAAUGCACCGUUACUAGUGGGCCAUUUUUGGUAAGCAGAACUGGCGAUGCGGGAUGAACCGAACGCGAGGUUAAGGUGCCGGAAUGCACGCUCAUCAGACACCACAAAAAGUGUUAGUUCAUCUAGACAGCCGGACGGUGGCCAUGGAAGUCGGAACCCGCUAAGGAGUGUGUAACAACCCACCGGCCGAAUGAACUAGCCUUGAAAAUGGAUGGCGCUCAAGCGUGCUACCCAUACCUCGCCGCCAGGGUAAAAACGAUGCCCUGGCGAGUAGGCCGACGUGGAGGCCCGUGACGAAGC
rnacentral:rRNA from 1 species